rnacentral:rRNA from 1 species
UCGGGAAUUUUGGGCAAUGGGCGAAAGCCUGACCCAGCAACGCCGCGUGAAGGACGAAGUCUCUCGGGAUGUAAACUUCGUAAGAAUAGGAAGAAUAAAUGACGGUACUAUUUGUAAGGUCCGGCUAACUACGUGCCAGCAGCCGCGGUAAUACGUAGGGACCAAGCGUUGUUCGGAUUUACUGGGCGUAAAGGGCGCGUAGGCGGCGUGGUAAGUCACUUGUGAAAUCUCCGAGCUUAACUCGGAACGGUCAAGUGAUACUGCUGUGCUAGAGUACAGAAGGGGCAAUCGGAAUUCUUGGUGUAGCGGUGAAAUGCGUAGAUAUCAAGAGGAACACCUGAGGUGAAGACGGGUUGCUGGGCUGAUACUGACGCUGAGGCGCGAAAGCUAGGGUAGCAAACGGGAUUAGAUACCCCGGUAGUCCCUGAGCGGGCUGGCAAGGCGCAU